rnacentral:lncRNA from 1 species
GUUAGAAUCAAGUAUACAAAAUAAGAAAAUAACAAAGUGACGGCUAGGGUUUCAUAGAAUUACAUUACAAUGGCUUAGAAUACAAUGAGUUGUCUUAGGAAUAUAUAAAAAACAUAAAUAAACUAAAUUACUAUUAUGCCCAAAGCCCAAUUACAACCAAAAGCCCAUUACAUUAUUAAAUCACUAAUAUAUUAUCUUAACAUCUCCCCGCAAACUCACAAUGCCUUAACAUGAAGCAUUGAGAGUUUGUCAAACAAGACAUCAAACCAAAACAACUAACAUAGAACAGCAACCAAACUGAGUUGACAUCAUUGAAAAUGCAGCAAGAAACGUCCAAACAAAACCAAGUCAAACCAAACUUAUCCGGUCCAAACUAAACCAAAUCAAAUUGUACUAAUCCAAACCAAUCAAGCAAAAUCAAAUCAAUCUAAACCAACAUAGAGAAGAACCAGAAUACCAAACAGAAGAAUCGGUCAAUAGAAAGAGAAGCAACCAAAAUAGAAGAAAAGACGGAGGGGAGCAAUCCAACAUAAGAUAAAUCAUUAGAGAGGAGCAAUCAAACAAAAGAAAUCAACAGGAGAGACAAUCAACAUAAUUCAGACCAAAGACUCAUUAGGGAGAAGCAGACAGAAGAAAUCAUCGAGGGGGGAAAAAUCAGACAAAAGAUCAGCAGAGAGAUGCAAUCAGACAUAAGAAAUCAAUUGGGAGAAGUGUAAUCAAACAGAAGAAACCAACAGAGGGAGAAAGAAGCAUUCAAACAGAAGAUUCAAUAGAGAGACAAUCNNNNNNNNNNNNNNNNNNNNNNNNNNNNNNNNNNNNNNNNNNNNNNNNNNNNNNNNGAGUAUUACCUCACCAAACAAACAAAUUGUGAGCAAUAUUUUAACUCACCAAUUCAUUCAAACAAAUCUCCAAAUUAAUGGAACCAAACAAACGAAACUAAAUUAAACCGAACCAAAUCAAGUCAUACAAACCAACAUAGACCGAAUCAAACAAUAAACAAAGAGAGAGAACCAAAACCAAAAGCCAAACCAGAUUGCAAAGUAAUGGAUCGCGUCGCACAACUUGCCACAACUUGCUGAACUUCCAAGAUGCUUGACAUUUCCACAAAACACUCUUACUGCAUACAUGCAUUGCUUCACAAAACUCCAAGCUUAAGUACCCCCAAAUCAGCACAUGCAGACAAAACCACCGAUCAUAGCACUUGGUAUCCAACCUAUGACUAUCAUCAAGCACCUUAUGAACAAACUCAAAUCCAAUAUCUCCCUCGCAACAACAACACCUCAUUCCGAUUGGUACUCUCCAGCAAAAGAAAAAAAAUCUAACAAUAACACUAUUUAAGAAACUCACAUCACACUAUAUUCCUACUCUGACAACAUGCCGUAACGGAAGAAUUUUUUUCUUUUCUUUUUCUUAUAACUAACAAUCAACCAGCAGACAUAAAACAACAUCGAUCAUACCAGACCUUAACUCAAAAUCGACAAAACCACUUAGUUACCAAGAGAACUAACCAGAACACUAAUCACCAUAC